rnacentral:rRNA from 1 species
AACUAUAACGGUCCUAAGGUAGCGAAAUUCCUUGUCGGGUAAGUUCCGACCUGCACGAAUGGCGUAACGAUUUCCCCCCUGUAUAACAAUGAGAGAACACA